AGUGUUGUUGUGUUAUUUGAUUUGAACAAAGGUUUGAAGGUAAUACAGUUUAAUAUCUGAUAUGUCCUCUAUAUGAGGAUAACUUAUUAAGCAGAUUUUUAGCACUGGGAGAUGAAAAAGGGGCUUGCUCCGUUCACUCCACGCAUUGACCUGGUAUUGCAGCAUCGCCAGGAACGGUGCACCCUUC